GACCACUAUUGUAUUCAAUUAAAACCAUUUAUAAACAUAAUAAAUUAUUGUGCUCUUGAACUUCAGUUCAUGACUGAAAGUGCAUUAUUCCCCUUUUACAAACAGAUCAACGUAAAUGAGAUAUAUCAUAUGUACAUACAACUUAAUUUACCAGAAUAAAUGAAACAAUAUUUGGAAACCCUGAUAUUCUGUUCUGCUGGCUGUGUGAUUGAACGUCGAGAUGGAACUGAAAGCAGCUGAUCAGAUGCGAUCGGAUACAUACGGCUCCCCGGCGAUUUCGUUUUAGGUGGCAUAACAGGCCCACUUUUAAAAAGGUUUCUGCUUAAACGCAUGCCAAGAGUAAACUUUAAUUGUGAUUAACAUUUCUAUUGAGCAAAAUAUUCAUAAAGAUUUUUAAUAUAUGUAUUUGCUUUUGAAUAUUUUUCAUGAUUAGCAGCGGAUAAUACAAAAUAAAGUAAACAUUUUUUAACAUUAUUAAUAUCGGUAAUAACUCCAUGAUAUAAAAAAUAUUUUAAAAAUAAAUAUAUCCUUAAGUCGUCUUAGACUUAACAUUUAUGGUAGUGCUGUAA